rnacentral:rRNA from 1 species
UACGUAGGGUGCAGGCGUUAAUCGGAAUUACUGGGCGUAAAGCGUGCGCAGGCGGUUUCUUAAGUCAGAUGUGAAAUCCCCGGGCUCAACCUGGGAACUGCAUUUGUGACUGCAUAGCUAGAGUACGGUAGAGGGGGAUGGAAUUCCGCGUGUAGCAGUGAAAUGCGUAGAUAUGCGGAGGAACACCGAUGGCGAAGGCAAUCCCCUGGACCUGUACUGACGCUCAUGCACGAAAGCGUGGGGAGCAAACAGG